AUUGAACGCUGGCGGCAGGCUUAACACAUGCAAGUCGAGCGGAGUGAUGGUGCUUGCACUAUCACUUAGCGGCGGACGGGUGAGUAAUGCUUAGGAAUCUGCCAUUUAGUGGGGGACAACAUUCCGAAAGGAAUGCUAAUACCGCAUACGUCCUACGGGAGAAAGCAGGGGAUCUUCGGACCUUGCGCUAAAUGAUGAGCCUAAGUCGGAUUAGCUAGUUGGUGGGGUAAAGGCCUACCAAGGCGACGAUCUGUAGCGGGUCUGAGAGGAUGAUCCGCCACACUGGGACUGAGACACGGCCCAGACUCCUACGGGAGGCAGCAGUGGGGAAUAUUGGACAAUGGGGGGAACCCUGAUCCAGCCAUACCGCAUGUGUGAAGAAGGCCUUAUGGUUGUAAAGCACUUUAAGCGAGGAGGAGGCUCUUUUGGUUAAUACCCAAGAUGAGUGGACGUUACUCGCAGAAUAAGCACCGGCUAACUCUGUGCCAGCCGCCGCCGUAACAC
rnacentral:rRNA from 1 species